rnacentral:rRNA from 1 species
GAUGAACGCUGGCGGCGUGCCUAAUACAUGCAAGUCGAGCGAACAGAUGAGGGGUUUCUUCCUCUGAUGUUAGCGGCGCACGGGUGAGUAACAUGUGGAUAACCUAUCUUUGAGACUGGGAUAACUUCGGGACGCCAGAGCUAAUACCGGAUAAUAUGUUGAACCGCAUGGUUCACUAAUGAAAUACAAUUUUACUGUUACUUAUUGAUGCUUCGUCGUCGCAUUUGCUUGUUGGUAAGGUAACGCACUACAAAGGCAACGAUGCGUCGCCGACCUGGGAGGGGGACCGGCCAAACUGGAACUGAGACACGGCCCGAACCCUACGGGGGGGCAGAAGUAGGGAAUCUUCCGAAAGGGGCGAAGGCCGGACGGGGCAACGCCGCGGGGUGGAGGAAGGUCUUCGAAUGGUAAAACUCGGUUAUUGGGGAAGAAGAAUGGUGUAAGUGACUAUGCACGCCUUGACGGUACCUAAUCAGAAAGGGACGGCUAACUACGUG